GAUGAAGAACGUAGCGAAAUGCGAUACUUGGUGUGAAUUGCAGAAUCCCGUGAACCAUCGAGUCUUUGAACGCAAGUUGCGCCCGAAGCCACUAGGCCGAGGGCACGCCUGCCUGGGCGUCACACGCCGUUGCCCCCCCAUCUACUCCUUCGGGAUUGCGGGGGGGCGGAUGAUGGCCUCCUGUGCGCCUAGCCGCGCGGUUGGCAUAAAUACCAAGUCCUCGGCGACGCACGCCACGACAAUCGGUGGUUGCGAAACCUCGGUUGCCCGUCGUGUGCGUUCGUCGCGCAUCGAGGGCUCGAAAAAAUGCUCGGCUCCGGCUGGGCUUUCAACGCGACCCCAGGUCAGGCGGGGUUACCCGCUGAAUUUAAGCAUAUCGAUAAGCGGAGGA
rnacentral:misc_RNA from 1 species